GGGUGAUAAACGCGAUGUGUUUCCUCUCUCUCUCUCUUCGUUCUUAGCUCGGCUCUACGCAUCUGAAGGGGCUUGAUCAGGUUUCGGUGUCGCUGGGUUUUGAAUAAUCGUGCUAGACCAAUCGGAUAAUUGUGUCUUCAGUUGGUGAUCUGCUACAAGUAUAAUCUAAAGAACCAACGCCUACUUUCGGGAAGCAUCGGUGAAGACCGACCUCCGCUGCUGCGCUGUUGCAACCUCUCUGACGUCGACAUGAAUCCAAACAGCUGCGAGAACAAAAUGGAUGUCUUCAUUCAUGAAAUGGAACCUUACAAAUCGGAAUACAAGAUCAGAGUUCGUAUAUUGAGAGUGUGGAGAGCAAAGCAAUAUAAUACUGACAAGAAUGAUGGUCUCCACUCUGUCUUGAUUGAUGAAAAAGGUGACGCUAUUCAAUUAUUCAUGCAAUUAUCAGUGAAUCUGACUACCCUUUAGUUCACAAAAAAAAAUACAACAAGGCAAGGUUUAUGACAUUCAGAAUUUCUUUACAC